GGAGGCGGGAUUUUCUGGGGCUCUGACACUUGCCAGUCCUCAAGUGUGGCUUGACCAAGACGUGUUCUUUAACCAGAGCCAGUGAAUGCUGCAAAUCCUCCCUUCUCUGUCCCUUUCCUGACCAUCCCUGACUCACGAUGCCCCGAGCCCCAGCUGCGCCAUGGCCCCCGGCACCCUCUCCCUGUUGCUCUUCUGGAUUUCUCUGCUGUCUGAUGGGGACAAUGUCUUUGACACCUGGAACCACCUCUCAGGAGACAUCGUAGAAUGGAGGAAGAGAAUUCUCUGGAAGGAAACAGGCUGCUACUAGGAAAGAGAAAGGGACACUAAGAAGCUUCUCUAAGUCCUCUAGGCGAUGGAGAUCCUGUUAAGAGUCAUUCACGGGGUUCCCGUUGUGGCUCAGCAGGUCGUGAAUCUGACUAGUAUCCCCGAGGAUUAGGGUUCGAUCUCUGGCCUCGCUCAGAGAGUUAAGGACCCAGUGUUGCUGCGAGUUGUGGUGUAGGUCGCAGAUGUGGCUCGGAUCUGGCGUUGCGGUGGCUGUGGUGUAAGCCAGCAGCAGCAGCAGCAGCAGCAGCAGCAGCAGCUCCGAUUUGACCCCUAGCCUGGGAACCUCCAUAUGCACCUGCGGCCAAGAGUCAUUCACUUUUUGUGGGUAACUGAUGCAGGGGAAACUUUCAUUCUAAGAAGGUAUGUCAGGUGGAUCUCCUUGCCUGGCAGCUUCUUGAUUUUUCACAGGCUAGUACUUGUGAAAUGAGAAAACAAAUCACCAAAGGGUUUUGUUAAAAUGCAAAUUCCAGCUUAACUGUUCUCAGGCAGCCCAAGAUUCUGCAUGUUUAACAAGCUCUCAAGUAGUGCUGGGUUUUUUUUUUUUUUUUUUUUUUUUAAUUGUCCUUAUGUUAUAUUCCUCUUUUCAAAACCCCACCCAUUUAAUUUUUGAAAAUUCACAAAAGUAACUCUUGGGAAUACCAGAAUGUAGCUCUGAAAGUCUUUCAAGGAAAUGAAACUCGAGUCUUGCGAGCGGAGCCAGGGAUCACUGUGGCCCUAAAAAGUAAAAAAAAAAGCAAAACAACAACAAAAAAGUCGUGAUUUCUGUACUGCUGGCACUCGGAGCACUGGCAUAGGAGCAUAUGUUCGAGGUUGGAUGCUCAUGGAUGGGAGGCCGACGAAAUAAUUGAAUGAGGAUUGUUUUUGUGCCACUGGGGUCAGUGACAAAAUCCAGAAACAAGCAGAUUUGGAAGAUCAUGCCAAGGAAAUAGCAGCAGUGAUUGCCUUUACCCCAACCGACUUAGGACCUGGAUAGGUUGGUACCU
rnacentral:lncRNA from 1 species